ACGAGAAACCCGAGCUUGCUCGGGUGGCAGUGGAGACGGCUUAGUAACGCGUGGGUAUCUACCUAGAGGUUUGGAACAACUAUUGGAAACGAUAGCUAAUACCAAAUAUUCCCUAAGGGGGAAAGAUUUAUCGCCUUUAGAUGAGCCCGCGUCGGAUUAGCUUGUUGGUAGGGUAAAGGCCUACCAAGGCUACGAUCCGUAGUCUGGUCUGAGAGGAUGAUCAGCAAGAUUGGGACUGAGACACGGCCCAGACUCCUACGGGAGGCAGCAGUGGGGAAUAUUGCGCAAUGGGGGAAACCCUGACGCAGCGAUGCCGCGUGAGUGAAGAAGGCCUUAGGGUUGUAAAACUCUUUCACCGGUGAAGAUAAUGACGGUAGCCGGAGAAGAAGCCCCGGCUAACUCCGUGCCAGCAGCCCGCGGUAAUACGGAGGGGGCUAACGUUGUUCGGAAUUACUGGGCGUAAAGCGCGCGUAGGCGGAUUAGACAGUUGAGGGUGAAAUCCCGGAGCUUAACUUCGGAACUGCCU
rnacentral:rRNA from 1 species